UCAAGGCGCCGUAACUUCCCGAUCCGAGCUCCGAUUGCCGCACCGUUUGCGACCACGCGUCCACCGGGUUGAGCUCUACAUUUUUACCGGAACAAUUUCAUAGGAUCUAAUUAGCUUGAAGAAAACGUUCACCCUUACUUAUGUGAAGCUUGGGUAAGGUUGUGAAUAAAUAAUUGAAGCUUGAAAUUGUGAAUACUGGAACUUGGAGGAAGCUGAUUAAUUGAGGUAUUGAGGACUGUGUUCUUUAG